rnacentral:rRNA from 1 species
CGGUUGUGAUAACAAUCUUGUACUGUGUACGUUACUCUUUCCUACUGGUUACUCGACUCUGUCCUUUACUGGAUGGAGUAGUGUCGCAAGGCAUCGCUUAGUGUUAUAUUGCUUAUGAAUGUAGUUAUUGGGUAAAACUGGUAGUGAAAUUCAUGGGAUCACAGUAUAGUAUUAAGUGGGGUUCCAGUUCAUUUACUUUGAGUAAAUUAGAGUGUUCAAAGCAGCCUCUUGGGGCAUUGAAUAGAUUAGCAUGGGAUAAUAGAAUAGGACUCUUGUCUUUUUAUUGGUUUAAAGAUUUAGAGUAAUGAUUAAUAGGGGAUAGUUGGGGGCACUUGUAUUCAAUAGUCAGAGGUGAAAUUCUAGGAUUUAUUGAAGACAAACUUCAGCGAAAGCAUUUGCCAAGGAUGUUUUCAUUAAUCAAGAACGAAAGUUAGGGGAUCGAAGACGAUUAGACACCGUCGUAGUCUUAACUAUAAACUAUGCCG